UCAGCUCCAUCCAUGUUCCUGCGAAAGACACGAUCUCAUUUUUUUUAAAUGUUUUGCCCAUUUUUAAAUUGGGUUGCUCAUUUUCCUAUUGUUGAAUAUGUUCUUUUUAAACAUUCAGCUGAGGUAACUCUUAAUAUUGUAUAACUAGAAAUACUCAGCUCCUGAAAUUUUGUCGUAGAAGAUUAGUGUUAGCAAUUUGCAAACUACUGAUGACUUGAACACAACAGCCUCAGAUCAGUAAUAAAUGCAGCAUUUUGCAACUAUUGACAAGGAUGCAGAUUAGCUUGUCUGCACUGAGUCUGCAGAGUAAGAAAAAAAGAUCAAGGACUGAAAGCCAGAGAAACAGCAUCUAAGAGAUGAGCCAGAGAAGAGGAGCCCAAGGUGGGAUAUGAGGGGGAGUGGUCAGAAAGCUAGAAGAAAAACCUGGAGGCUGUGGGACACAAUCUCCUUGAAAAAAUCUGAAGAGCAAGCAAAGUCAGCAUUGCCAGAUGCUUGAAAGUGGAUCUGAAUGAUGCAGUGUCGCAAUCCCAUUUUAUAAAUGAGGCAACCAAAACUCGAACAGGACCAUAUUGCGACUGAAACAAGGCAUAACAGGUCUUUGACUGGCUAUCCUGUGGAUGUGGACUCAGGCUAGCCUGCGCAAAGUGAAAGACAGGCAAUUAGAUUGAAAAAUACCUGUGAUUCAAAGAAGUCACAAGUCACAGAGACAAACUUUUCCCAGUGUGUUCGAGUCAGAGAACCUUUGCAAAGACCAACAGGCUAAAAGAGAAAAUACAAUGUCAUGACACAGCUAGAAUAUGUUUCCAAGCCUCCCCAACACGUGUGACUGUGUAUAAUUGAGUUCUAACCACAGGAAGCUUGAUGCAGAUGAGCAGGUAACCAUGGAAGUCGUGAGCUGAGGCUGCAGAGUCUAGAGCCAGAGUGUGGAAUAAACUUGGGUCUCAAAUCACCCCUGGAGCAAAGCACCCAUCUAAUCAGGAACUUCUACUUUCAACUUUACAUGCGUGAGAAAUGAACUUCUAUCAUGUUAGAGAAAUCCUUACACGGCGCCCUUGAGAGCUUUCAUACUGCAAGUCAUCCAUUUUCCUCCCCUCAAACCUGGCAUCGGAGUUUAUUGAAACAAAGCAAAAUAAAACAAAUAGACAAAGCUCUACCUCCAUCACUUCUGCAGUCUACAUUAACCCCACGUCCAGAAUAUUCACACCUCAGGUCUUUUUCUCACAAUUGAAACACUGGUUCAGAGCCUAACGGAAGGUCUUGGAGGUAAAAACACAACUUGGGGCAACUUUUCCAUUCUGUUCUGCAUGACCCCAAUGGGACUUCUCAGAAACCCCUCUCAUGAAUUAAACUUUGUUCUGUCUAGAGCAUUAGAAUAAGCUUAUGGGCACCUGCCAGGAGAUUAUAAAGUGGGCCAUUUAAAAGAUGACAGAUAUUGAGCACCCUUGACCCUGUAGAAAGAGUGUACCUACUUGCUUUCCCUAGGGCCCUUAAUGGUUUAUAAAA
rnacentral:lncRNA from 1 species